rnacentral:rRNA from 1 species
GGGAGCUUGCUCCGCUGACGAGUGGCGAACGGGUGAGUAAUGCAUCGGAACGUACCCAGUCGUGGGGGAUAACGUAGCGAAAGUUACGCUAAUACCGCAUACGUCCUGAGGGAGAAAGCGGGGGACCGAAAGGCCUCGCGCGAUUGGAGCGGCCGAUGUCGGAUUAGCUAGUUGGUGGGGUAAAGGCCUACCAAGGCGAUGAUCCGUAGCGGGUCUGAGAGGAUGAUCCGCCACACUGGGACUGAGACACGGCCCAGACUCCUACGGGAGGCAGCAGUGGGGAAUUUUGGACAAUGGGGGCAACCCUGAUCCAGCCAUGCCGCGUGAGUGAAGAGGGCCUUCGGGUUGUAAAGCUCUUUCAGACGGAAAGAAAACGCAUCGGUGAAUACCCGAUGUGGAUGACGGUACCGUAAGAAGAAGCACCGGCUAACUACGUGCCAGCAGCCGCGGUAAUACGUAGGGUGCGAGCGUUAAUCGGAAUUACUGGGCGUAAAGCGUGCGCAGGCGGUUAUGUAAGACAGAUGUGAAAUCCCCGGGCUCAACCUGGGAACUGCGUUUGUGACUGCAUAACUAGAGUACCGGCAGAAGGGAGGUGGAAUUUCCCCGUGUA